rnacentral:rRNA from 1 species
UUCCAGACUCCUACGGGAGGCAGCAGUGGGGAAUAUUGCACAAUGGGGGAAACCCUGAUGCAGCGACGCCGCGUGAGCGAUGAAGUAUUUCGGUAUGUAAAGCUCUAUCAGCAGGGAAGAAGAUGACGGUACCUGACUAAGAAGCCCCGGCUAACUACGUGCCAGCAGCCGCGGUAAUACGUAGGGGGCAAGCGUUAUCCGGAUUUACUGGGUGUAAAGGGAGCGUAGACGGCGAUGCAAGCCAGAUGUGAAAGCCCGGGGCUCAACCCCGGGACUGCAUUUGGAACUGUGUGGCUGGAGUGUCGGAGAGGCAGGCGGAAUUCCUAGUGUAGCGGUGAAAUGCGUAGAUAUUAGGAGGAACACCAGUGGCGAAGGCGGCCUGCUGGACGAUGACUGACGUUGAGGCUCGAAAGCGUGGGGAGCAAACAGGAUUAGAUACCCGUGUAG